rnacentral:rRNA from 1 species
GAUGAACGCUGGCGGCGUGCCUAAUACAUGCAAGUCGAGCGAACAGACGAGGAGCUUGCUCCUCUGACGUUAGCGGCGGACGGGUGAGUAACACGUGGAUAACCUACCUAUAAGACUGGGAUAACUUCGGGAAACCGGAGCUAAUACCGGAUAACAUGUUGAACCGCAUGGUUUAACAGUGAAAGACGGUCUUGCUGUCACUUAUAGAUGGAUCCGCGCCGCAUUAGCUAGUUGGUAAGGUAACGGCUUACCAAGGCAACGAUGCGUAGCCGACCUGAGAGGGGGAUCGACCAACCUGGACCUGUCACACGGUCCAGACACGCACGGGAGGCAGCGGUGGGGAAUCUGCAGCAAUGGUCGAAAGCCUGACGGAGCAACGCCGGGUGAGUGAAGAAGGGCUUCGGAUCGUAAAACUCUCUUAUUAGGGAAGAACAAAUGUGUAAGUAACUAUGCACGUCUUGACGGUACCUAAUCAGAAAGCCACGGCUAACUACGU